UACGUAGGGUGCAAGCGUUAAUCGGAAUUACUGGGCGUAAAGCGUGUGUAGGCGGCUUCGCAAGUCGGAUGUGAAAGCCCCGGGCUCAACCCGGGAAGUGCACUCGAUACUGCGGAGCUAGAGUGUCGGAGAGGUUGGUGGAAUUCUCGGUGUAGAGGUGAAAUUCGUAGAUAUCGAGAGGAACACCGGUGGCGAAGGCGGCCAACUGGACGAACACUGACGCUGAGACACGAAAGCGUGGGGAGCAAACAGG
rnacentral:rRNA from 1 species